CCCGCUGAACUUAAGCAUAUCAGUAAGCGGAGGAAAAGAGAACUAACAAGGAUUCCUCAAGUAACGGCGAGUGAAAGGGGAAAAGCUCACAAUUGAAAUCUACCACGGCGUGGCAGAGAUGUAAUUGUCGCAGGAGGACUGGGGUGACAGGCAGGUAGUUCCUUGGAACAGGACAGCACAGAGGGUGAGACUCCCGUAUGAGCGUGUCACACGGGCCAUUGCUUGCGAGCACAACGAGUCGGAUUGUUUGGGAAUGCAAUCCUAAAUGGGUGGUACAUACCAUCUAAAGCUAAAUAGGGACAAGAGACCGAUAGCAAACAAGUACCGUGAGGGAAAGAUGAAAAGAACUCUGAAGAGAGAGUUAAAAGGAUGUGAAAUUGGUACGAGGGGAACGAGUGGUAUGGGUGGAUGGGGGAUGGAGAGUGGGCGUGGACAAUGAGACGUACGUGUACAUAUAUGCACACACUACACAUCCCCAUUGACCACAUGGCCCCGCUCUCGCCCCAGUCAAAGGCUAUCAAAGUACGGUGAAAAGGAUUACAGUCAGCUAGACUCGCUCUGGUGGACAGUGAGAGGUGGCCGUAGAGGGAUGGCACGAGACACACAACAUACUUGUCGACCCGUCUUGAAACACGG
rnacentral:rRNA from 1 species